CCCCCGCCCCCCCCGCCUUGGUGCUUUGGGCUCUGCAGCGAUUGGCUGAGGAGAGUUCCCGCCUUUGGGAGGCGGAGCCUGAGCCCGACCUUGAACUUGACCCUGAACUUGACCCCGAUGCUCCGCCCACUGUCAAGAGCCUCAUCCAGGAUCUCUGGGGCGCCGUGGGGUGUCUAUGGGGCCGGCUGCCCCCCCUGGCCGCUCGGCUGCGCCCCCUGGAGCGACGGCUGAACCACCUGACACUGAAACUGGGGGGGGACCCCAAAACCCUGCAGGCUG
rnacentral:lncRNA from 1 species